AGAGUUCGAUCCUGGCUCAGGAUAAACGCUGGCGGCGUGCUUAACACAUGCAAGUCGAACGAAGUUUUUCUUUCGGGAGGAACUUAGUGGCGGACGGGUGAGUAACGCGUGGGUAACCUGCCCUGUACAGGGGGACAACAGUUAGAAAUGACUGCUAAUACCGCAUAAGCGCACAGUACCGCAUGGUACAGUGUGAAAAACUCCGGUGGUGUGAGAUGGACCCGCGUCUGAUUAGCUAGUUGGCAGGGCAACGGCCUACCAAGGCGACGAUCAGUAGCCGACCUGAGAGGGUGACCGGCCACAUUGGGACUGAGACACGGCCCAAACUCCUACGGGAGGCAGCAGUGGGGAAUAUUGCACAAUGGGGGAAACCCUGAUGCAGCGACGCCGCGUGAGCGAAGAAGUAUUUCGGUAUGUAAAGCUCUAUCAGCAGGGAAGAAAAUGACGGUACCUGACUAAGAAGCACCGGCUAAAUACGUGCCAGCAGCCGCGGUAAUACGUAUGGUGCAAGCGUUAUCCGGAUUUACUGGGUGUAAAGGGAGCGCAGGCGGUGCGGCAAGUCUGAUGUGAAAGCCCGGGGCUCAACCCCGGUACUGCAUUGGAAACUGUCGUACUAGAGUGUCGGAGGGGUAAGCGGAAUUCCUAGUGUAGCGGUGAAAUGCGUAGAUAUUAGGAGGAACACCAGUGGCGAAGGCGGCUUACUGGACGAUAACUGACGCUGAGGCUCGAAAGCGUGGGGAGCAAACAGGAUUAGAUACCCUGGUAGUCCACGCC
rnacentral:rRNA from 1 species